rnacentral:misc_RNA from 1 species
GGCGAGGCAGCAGACGACGACGUCGAUGGGGCGGUUGAGUUCGUCGAGAGAGCGGUUGAGGGCGGUGGGGUCGGUGACAUCGGUGAAGCAGACGGUGGAUUUGGAGAGGUGGUUGAGAGUUUGGGUCUUGUCGUCGCGGCCGCGGAUGCCGCUGCGCUCGCGAGCGAGGGAGAUGACGUUGAAGCCGCGGCGGGAGAGCUCGCGGACGACGAACUUGCCAAUGUAGCCGGUGGAGCCGGCGACGAGGAUGGUGACGUCGG